GAUGAAGAACGCAGCGAAAUGCGAUAAGUAAUGUGAAUUGCAGAAUUCAGUGAAUCAUCGAAUCUUUGAACGCACAUUGCGCCCGCCAGUAUUCCGGCGGGCAUGCCUGUUCGAGCGUCAUUUCAACCAUCAAGCCCCCGGCUUGUGUUGGGGACCUGCGGCUGCCGCAGGCCCUGAAAUGCAGUGGCGGGCUCGCUGUCACUCCGAGCGUAGUAGUUACAUCUCGCUCUGGGCGUGCUGCGGGUUCCGGCCGUUAAAAGCCUUAUUUACCCAAGGUUGACCUCGGAUCAGGUAGGAAGACCCGCUGAACUUAAGCAUAUCAAUAAGCGGAGGA
rnacentral:misc_RNA from 1 species